AUAAACACAGUUGACAGGGAGAGGACGUUUCUUUUUUUGCUGAGUUUAUAUGUUCCCAAAACACAAAAACUGUCCAUUUGUGCAGAUGAUUCUACUAAAUUUCUAUAAAGGGGGCAAAAUACAUUUGUCUUAUAUUACAAGAAUGUUCCCAGAACACAUUUAAUCUGCUCUUUAAAGGUUCCCAGAAUGUUUCAUUAGGUUGUGGGAACAUUGUGUGGACAUGACAAGAGAUAUGUUCCCAAAACACAAUAACUCUCCAGUUAUGCCGAUUACCACAAUGUUUAUUUUAGGUUGCAUACAAAAAAAUUGCAAGAAAAUUCCCACAUUGUGGGGAUAUGACAAGAUAUAACAAAACACAAAAUAUGCUCAGUUGUGAUGACAUUCAGAUAAUGUUUGUAUCAGGGUGCACAAAACAUUCCUUUGAUAUUGCAAGAAUGUUGACAGAACAGUCUUUCUGAGUUCUGUAAAGCAUCCUAGAAUAUUUAAUUUGGUUGUGGGAACAGUGUGGGCACAUUACAAGAGAUAGGUUCCCAAAACACAAAAUAUGCUCAGUUGUGAUGACAUUCAUACAAUGUUUAAGUUAGGUUUCAGAAGACAUUCCCUUAAUGUUAUAAGAAUAUAAUAAGUAUGUUUUUAUGAUGUUCAUAGCAUCGUUGUUUUAGGUCUAAAAUAAUAUGCCAUUGAUGUUCAUGCAAUUUGAUCUUGUCUUGGAGUCAAGCCCCCCCCCACUUUCAUGAUAAUUUAGAAAAUGUUAGAUUUAAGUUUUACCAAAUAAUAUCACAACAUUCUCAGCAUUAAAAUGUGUAGCUACUUAAAGCAUAAGAAAGCAGAUUGGAAAACAUCUCCAUUAUGUUUCAAAUCAGAUAUAAUGGCAAUUUGCAUUUGAGGACUGUAUUUUAGGUGAUAAAGAGACACAUGGCAUUUUAAUUUCAUUCAUAUGACAUUUGAACAGCAUUUAAUCAUACAAACAAAACCAUAUUUUUUACACUUCAAAUGUUGACAAUUUGCACAUGUGGGGUUUGAACCUUCAAUGUUUAGUUCCUAGCUGGGUUGUUUAUCCUCUGCACCCACAGGGAAGCACUCCUAUCUUUUUUUUCAGGACAGUCCAAUAUAUUGCCAUGGUCAAUCAGGAAUUCCGUGCUUCCUGUUUAGCCUUCUUAGACAUAACUAACCCAGGGAAAUACUGGUAACUGGGUUAUUCAUCAUCAUGCACCCACAUUUAAAAAGUAGCCAAGACUAUGAGUGCUGACCAAGGAUCACUUUUGCUUUUCAGAUCAUGAAAAAUAUGCCAAGGGGGACCAUAUCCAUCAUCUCAAAAAAGGAAUUAUGUUGAGUGCAUUUUUUAGAGUUGAAUUGUUUUGUAAAUGUUUUAGUUUUAACAUUUAGUCUAAAUUAUGCAUUUCUGACUGGAUUUUCUAAAUCUGGACGAAAUACAGAUGCCCUCUCUUUUAUUACAGUGUAUCUGAGCCUCAAUUUCACAGGUUUUUGGUCAAAGUAAAAGUGGGAUUAAACCUACAAUCUUCAAAUCUGCAGCCAGAAUAUUAACUCUCUGUUCCACCAGGGGAUAUCUGGGGCCUUGGGGGUUUCUUUUUUUUGUCAAAUAUGGUCCAACAGGACACAGAACACAAUUUCUGAGUUGUUAAAAUGUUCCCAUCCUCUUCGAAUGCUGUGUUCUUGUAACACUGUAUUUUAUGAUUUUCUUUCUUCAUCACGUGUUGAAAGUCUUAUAAAAUGUGAUUUUCAAAUUGAGAAAAGGUAAAAGGUUUUCUUAUUUAGUUUGAAUGUUCUGAGUCUGUAUUUAAGAAGCAUAUUAAUUGACAGUAAUACAAGUUAUUUAAAGGAAGUUCUAUGACUCAGUCGCCAGUUGUGCAGUGUUUCCUCCGACACAUUGGUGCGACUGGCUUCCGGGUUAAACGAGCAGUGUGUCCUCCGUGUUUCGGAGGACGCAUGGCUCUCGAUCUUCGCCUCUCCCGAGUUAGUACGGGAGUUGCAGCGAUGGGACAAGACUAUAACUAUCGAUUGGAUAUCACGAAAUUGGGGAGGAAAAGGGGUAAAAGCACAAAUAUAUAUAUAUACACAUUAAUAAUAUAUAUAUAUACACAUUAAAUCCCAUAGUGGAUAUUUUGCAUGUGAAAGAUGUCAGAUUAAAGGCUCUUGGAAUGGGUGUGUAGUGUUGCACUCUGAGAGGACACAUUCAGUGAGAGAUUAUGCUGAUUUUAAUAACUUGGUCUACAUGGCUAGACAUCAGGUAGCUACAUCUCCAUUGAUAGACGCUAGAGUUAUUUGUAUUUCAGGGUUUCCAUUAGGUUUUAUGCAUAUUGUGUGCUUGUGUGUCAUGAGGAGGAUAUUGAUUUUCCUUAAACGAGGCCCUAGAACAUGCAGACUUUCUUCCUCUCAGAAAACCAAGUUGUCAGAGGCUCAAAUCUCCUUUCAAGGCUUAUUGCCGAAAUAAUUUUCCCGACAACCUCGGUCACAGGGAGAACUUGACCGAUGGAAAGCCACUGAGUACAGGCAGUAUUUGCUCUUCACCGGCCCCAUAGUAUUGAAGGAUGAUAUUUCCAGUGUAGCCAUGUAAUUUAGCUAGAUUCAGAUGACAGGUGGCAUUACCUUGAUGAUGCCAAACAGCUGCUGAUGCGCUUUGUUGUGAUGAGCAAGAGUGUCUAUGGUGAUACAUUUACAAUGUACAUGGUCUCACUCACUUGGUAGAUGUUGCAUUUCACAACUGCUCACUCAAUGACCUUAUUCGCUCCGAUUUUGAGAACCAUUUGCAGUGGUUUAAACGUGCAAUCAAAAGCCCACAUUAUCCAUUGGUACAAGUGACGAGACGACUGUCUGAAUCAAGCCAAGUGAAACAUACUGUCAAGAACAUCCAAACAUACAUCAAGAAUAACAUGCGAGAUGGUUGUUUCCUCCUCCAGGACAAAUGUGACUCAAAUGUUUGCAAUUAUGGCUUAUAUUAUAUUGUUUAAUAAUGUCUAUUUCUCCAGGUUCUAAUCUCAGAGGAUGUGGGCCAGAGCAGUGUGGAUGGAAAAUGAGAAGGAUGUAGAAGGUAUUAUUCAGGGCACUGGAUAAAAGACUGUGUGGUGGCCCCCAAAUAAAUAGGACAAAGCAAUAAAGGAUUGGUCCACAACCUCUCUUAUGAUGAUAAAACUGACAUCAGCUAAAUAGCAGAUACAUUAUACUUGAUAAUGCAAUAAGUUAAAACUGCUGUUUGUUAAAAUUGACUGUUAAAUGUUUAAAGCCUCACCCCACUAUUCAGAAUCAAAACAGCAAUGUGAAGACGUCGAAAUCACCGAAGCCAGUGAAGUAGAGGAGACCCCCCCACCCCCCAAGAGAAACCAAAAGAAAACUACAUUGAAAGAAUGUAUAACUGGUAUGUUGAAACACACAUUGACAGUUUGUGUACAUUCAAUUUACUUGGCUUUUUUUUCUCUGUAUGUUGUUGUAUAUUUAGAAUUUCAUGAUUAUUGCAACCUCCCACCGCCAGCCACUACUGCCUCCAAGUUCUGCAAAGGUUUACAACCUACCGAAAUAUGCUCUGAAACACUUGAAAACCCGUGCCACUGCUACCAAGAAGCAAAAGGCUAAAACGCAGCACAAAGUCACCAACUAAUGACAGUGAGGACGACCCUUCACAAUGCCUAUCCAAGCCCAACUAAAAUCUGCUCCCAAGUGCAAGAAAGCAAAAAGCUAAAACACCCAGCAAGCCACCAAGUAUUGGUGGUGAGGGGAAAUGGCAAACUAAAAUGCCACACUAAUGGAGAAUGAUUUUCUAAAAUACAUGUUACAGAUAUCUCAGAUCUCAAAGCUGGAGGGGAAAGACAUCCCGGACCGGGUGAAGAGAACAAUGCAUCGCAGGUUGGCAUCUUGGUGAAUCAAAGGCUACAGAGGCAGAAAUACUACAUGUGAUGUCAACCUGCCUGAAAUAUGCACCUGACCGCAAGGGGGGCAGUGGGAGGGCCAAUGAGGAAGGAGAUGAAAGAGUUCUUACGAAGUUAAAAGCAUCAAAGCCUUUUCCGACAGUGACGUUUUUGGGGUUUAUUUUAUAUCUAAUUUGUGUUUUCAGAAGCCUGUGCCAGAAAUGCAUAAAAAAAAAAAAAUGAUGGCUUGUACAUCUAUUUUGUGGUGCAAUUUUUUUUCUUAAUUUAAACCGUUCUUGACUUUGACAAAAUACAUUUGCAUAACAGUUUUGACAUGGACAAAGGUUUACACAAUGCUUUUCCAAGUUACUGCUCUAAUUGUGUUUCACAAAAUGGCAAUAGCCAACAGAAGUAUAGACCCUAAGUCUGGAACAUUUUGCACCAUGAGUGGAAUUGUAUUAUACAUAUCAGGGUGCUGUUCAAGAAUGCAGUUUGUUUUCCUAUUCUUAGCUCAGGCUCUUAUCCUUAUUUAAUGUAAAGAAGCCUACAUCAACAAAUGGCAACUACUUCUAAACAUCUAAUCAGCGCACUUCAUGGAUUGGUCAUAAUCCCUGUUGAAUUCAUGGUGUGUUUAGGUCAAAUCAGAUCACAAUGUGUUCUCAACCUCAUCCUAGUAUUUAAAUGUAGUUGAUUAUUAGUUGAGUAUAGUACUUAACCUCUAUAGUACCGGAAAUACAAAAAUAACUGU